rnacentral:rRNA from 1 species
GAUGAACGCUGGCGGCGUGCCUAAUACAUGCAAGUCGAGCGAACGGACGAGAAGCUUGCUUCUCUGAUGUUAGCGGCGGACGGGUGAGUAACACGUGGCUAACCUACCUAUAAGACUGGGAUAACUUCGGGAAACCGUAGCUAAUACCGGAUAAUAUUUUGAACCGCAUGGUUCAAAAGUGAAAGACGGUCUUGCUGCCACUUAUAGAUGGAUCCGCGCUGCAUUAGCUAGUUGGUAAGGUAACGGCUUACCAAGGCAACGAUGCAUAGCCGACCUGAGAGGGUGAUCGGCCACACUGGAACUGAGACGCGGUCCAGACGCCUACGGGAGGCAGCAGUAGGGAAUCUGCCGCAAUGGGCGAAAGCCUUACGGAGCAACGCCGCGUGAGUGAUGAAGGUCUUCGGAUCGUAAAACUCUGUUAUUAGGGAAGAACAUAUGUGUAAGUAGCUGUACACAUCUUGACGGUACCUAAUCAGAAAGCCACGGCUAACUACGUG